GAAUCAACUCAACUAACUGUUGUAACUGAGUGUCACAAUCAUACAGUGACUGGGUAUUUUGAGCAGAAUCAGACACAAUGGAAGAUUAUUAUCAUAUCUGGACUGAUGAAUGGGCUUCUGGUUAUUGUGGUGGUCGGACUGGUAAAGGUUUUUGUUGUUGGAAACAGAAGGUCUACAGAACAAUCAGAACAAAUUAACACUGAUCUACAACAGAUGCACGUUAUGGAACCACAUCAGGACCAAUUGCAUUACGCCACGGUGGAUUUUUCCAAGCUGCGUAGAAAUAUUCGGUCGAGCCAAAUCAACAGCACCUAUGCUGCUCUAAACCUGCCGAAGCCAUGAACACAUGAGUAUGACUGAUUUUAUACUUCUUUUGUUCACAUUUUCAAGAUGUUCAACUCUUGAAAUGCAGAGUCUGAAUCUGACGAAAGUCUAGAAAAAAUACUGUAAAAAUGUAAAUAUUUUAAACUUGACUAGAUUUGAUAUUAUUAUUUCAAUCUGUUUUCUAAAGACUGGUUGGAAGUCAUAAGAUCACAAUUAUUUUAUUGAAUUGACAGUUACAGUUUUGUAUUUCUUUCUAUGUAUAUAUCUGAGAGUACUCUAAUAAUGUGUAGAAAAUAUUACAUAUUAAGUAGACACUUUUUCUUUCACUCCAUAAUUGUGGUGUAAAUGUUUUAUACAUACAAAUAGCAAAUGUACAAAUGUACCAGACUUUGUAUUUUGUUGGUCUUGUAAUAGAGUCGUCAUAUUUGCGAUUUUGAAAUUUUGAAAUUUUGAAAACCCCGGCUACAGAUGAAAUGAGUGUUUAAGAACUUAAAUAUUUGCUAGUUGUCUGCUUCCCUUUUAAAUAGCUGUCUUAAGCCAUAUCUGGUGGAAAUUUGUGUAAGUGGUUGUAGAUGCUAAUGUACGUAUGAGAGUGGAUGGAGAGUAUGCACAAUAUUUAUUAUUUUUGUGAAGCCUGUCAGUUGUGUUUUCAGUGCUGUUGGACUGAGAAGAGGUCAUUUUUUUAAGAUACAAAAGACUGUUUAUUUUGUCAAAAUAGUUAAAUAUUUUGUGUAUAAUGUGUAUAAAUGAAUCUGUAUUUAAAAAAAAUAAAAAUAAACAAUCAGUUAAAUGCUCAUAAGUUGGUUAAGUCUGUUAGUGUGAAAUGUUGUGGCUUGUCAACCUACUUUUCUCAAACUCAGCACUCAGGGCUUUUUUUUCACCUUUGUGUUUUAACAAAAUGUAAGUGCGAAGUGUUUGUCUACUGGGCUUUUUUUAAUUAAUAUUUUGAGAAAAUAUCUGUGAGUAUAUUUUUGUAUUCAAAUAGGAAUCAGAAAUACAAAAUGUGUUGUGUUUGCAAGUAAAUGGCAGAAAUAUUUUCUAGAUGGAAGAAUGUUAUUGUUUACAUUAAAUGUACUUAUUUUGUAGUUUUUUUUACUGAUGUGACUGCCUUUAAUAACUUAUAUUAUUAUAUCGACAUUAAAUUAAGUUAGUUUCACAAUACAUACAUAGUAUACAGUUAUAAAAUAAUUAUAUUUAAAACACACAUGACAACUUGGCCUGAACAAACAUUUAUUUUAUUUAUUUUUACUUAUUUUUUUCUCUUUCUCUCUUUCCCAUAUUUUGUAUGUAUUUGGUGUAUUUUGAGUAUUUGUGUGUGUGCGUUAAGUGUUGUAUAUGUGAAGCACCAUAAAAGUCUGAACAAAUUACCCCAAGGGGAUAAAUAAAGCUCUAAACUAAAACUAAAAACUAAAACUGACUAAGAGAAACACCCUUGAGAACACGG